GACUCACGCGGGAAUCUUACCGGGUCCGGACACACUGAGGAUUGACAGACAAAUACACACACUACGGUGUGUGCAUGAAAUAUGCUAGUUCUUUCAUGAUUAUGUGAUAGGUGGUGCAUGGCCGUUCUUAGUUCGUGGAGUGAUCUGUCUGCUUAAUUGCGUUUCACUAAAGGCACAUACACAUAAUAUUGAUGCGUUGUGUGUAUAAUUUAUAAUUAUAUCGCAUACACACAUAUUAUAUUGUGCUUUGAAAGCAACGAACGUGACCGCAACCUCUUGUUGCCUGUAUAUAUAUGUGUAUUUUAUACACACCACAGGCUAUUAUAAACUAGAGGGACCGCUGUUACUUUCUUUUAAACCAGAGGAAGGUUGCGGCAAUAACAG
rnacentral:rRNA from 1 species